AUUGAACGCUGGCGGCAUGCUUUACACAUGCAAGUCGAACGGUAACAGGCCGCAGGGUGCUGACGAGUGGCGAACGGGUGAGUAAUGCAUCGGAACGUGCCCAGUCGUGGGGGAUAACUACUCGAAAGAGUAGCUAAUACCGCAUACGAUCUAUGGAUGAAAGCGGGGGACCGUAGGGCCUCGCGCGAUUGGAGCGGCCGAUGUCAGAUUAGGUAGUUGGUGGGGUAAAGGCUCACCAAGCCAACGAUCUGUAGCUGGUCUGAGAGGACGACCAGCCACACUGGGACUGAGACACGGCCCAGACUCCUACGGGAGGCAGCAGUGGGGAAUUUUGGACAAUGGGCGCAAGCCUGAUCCAGCAAUGCCGCGUGCAGGAAGAAGGCCUUCGGGUCGUAAACUGCUUUUGUACGGAACGAAACGGCUCUGGUUAAUACCCGGGGCUAAUGACGGUACCGUAAGAAUAAGCACCGGCUAACUACGUG
rnacentral:rRNA from 1 species